UUUAUUGAGAGUUUGAUCUUGGCUCAGGACGAACGCUGGCGGCGUGCCUAAUACAUGCAAGUCGAGCGCGGGAAGCUUGUCUGAUCCCUUCGGGGUGACGUGAGUGGAACGAGCGGCGGACGGGUGAGUAACACGUGGGCAACCUGCCUGUAAGACUGGGAUAACUCCGGGAAACCGGGGCUAAUACCGGAUAAUACAUUGCUUCGCAUGAAGUAAUGUUGAAAGAUGGCUUUGGCUAUCACUUACAGA
rnacentral:rRNA from 1 species